rnacentral:siRNA from 1 species
UUCUAACUAUCUUUUCGGUGAU